GAUGAAGAACGUAGCGAAAUGCGAUACGUAAUGUGAAUUGCAGAAUUCAGUGAAUCAUCGAGUCUUUGAACGCACAUUGCGCCCCCUGGUAUUCCGGGGGGCAUGCCUGUCCGAGCGUCAUUGCUGCCCUCAAGCACGGCUUGUGUGUUGGGCCUCCGUCCUCCUCCCGGGGGACGGGCCCGAAAGGCAGCGGCGGCACCGCGUCCGGUCCUCGAGCGUAUGGGGCUUCGUCACCCGCUCUUGUAGGCCCGGCCGGCGCUUGCCGACACAUCAAUCUUUUUUCCAGGUUGACCUCGGAUCAGGUAGGGAUACCCGCUGAAUUUAAGCAUAUCAAUAAGCGGAGGA
rnacentral:misc_RNA from 1 species